CCUACGGGUGGCAGCAGUGGGGAAUUUUGCGCAAUGGGGGAAACCCUGACGCAGCAACGCCGCGUGCGGGACGAAGGCUCUCGGGUCGUAAACCGCUGUCAGCAGGGAAGACCACGACGGUACCUGCAGAAGAAGCUCCGGCUAACUACGUGCCAGCAGCCGCGGUAAUACGUAGGGGGCGAGCGUUAUCCGGAUUCAUUGGGCGUAAAGCGCGCGUAGGCGGCCCCCAAAGCGGAACCUAUAACCACGGGGCUAAACCGCGGGCCGGGUUGGGGACUGGGCGGCUUGAGUGCGGUAGAGGAGAGCGGAAUUCCCGGUGUAGCGGUGGAAUGCGCAGAUAUCGGGAAGAACACCGACGGCGAAGGCAGCUCUCUGGGCCGUAACUGACGCUGAGGCGCGAAAGCUGGGGGAGCGAACAGGAUUAGAUACCCGGGUAGUC
rnacentral:rRNA from 1 species